UACGAAGGGGGCUAGCGUUGUUCGGAAUUACUGGGCGUAAAGCGCGCGCAGGCGGCUCUUCAAGUCAGGGGUGAAAGCCCAGAGCUCAACUCUGGAACUGCCUUUGAGACUGAAGAGCUUGAGUACGGGAGAGGUGAGUGGAAUUCCCAGUGUAGAGGUGAAAUUCGUAGAUAUUGGGAAGAACACCGGUGGCGAAGGCGGCUCACUGGCUCGUAACUGACGCUCAGGCGCGACAGCGUGGGGAUCAAACAGG
rnacentral:rRNA from 1 species